UUUGGGCUCCCCACCCUCCUCCCCAGGUGUCAGCCCACGCCCCUGCAGGAUGACAGUGAUGUGGUAGCGGGUCUUCCUGGCAGAGGCACCUCCUCACCCCGACUGCCCUCCUUGCACCGGAGAAGCAGAGCUGUCCUAAGGGAGGCGGCCAGGGCCAUGAGAGCUGGGCAAAGGGGCAGAGCUCCAGGAAAGCCCUUCCCCACUCAACUCACACCUCCCGUUCUACAGUGAGGAAAGAGAGCCAGAGAAGACACCGACAUGAAUAAAGUCACACACGAGGGCCCAACUUUCAGGUGCAGCCUUUCAUUCACCAGGGGCUGAACACCUCAAGAGAUGGAAGAGGACAAUGAUUCCUGUGGGGGCCUGGAGCGGGGCGGCCCGGGCUUGAAUCCUAGCUCUGCUACUUCCUAGCUCUGCUACUUCCUAGCUCUGCUACUUCCUAGCUCUGCUACUUCCUAGCUGCAAUACCUCUUGCAUCUCAGUUUCCCCGUGUGUAAAACUGGCGUGAUGAUAACAGCACCCGCUUCCUGGGAGUGCUGUGGAGAUUUCAUGAGAUAAUCUAUGCAGAACGGCACAUAACGAGUGCUCAAUUACAUGUGAGUAAUUACUCAUGGUAUUCAGGACCACAGAGAGACACACGGCUGCUUGAGCCAGCUCCAAGGGAAGGACACCCCGUGCUGCCCCAUCCAUGGCUCAGACGGGAAAACUGUGGCCAGAAGGUUAAGUCACUGGCCCAGCAUCACCCCUGGGGGGUCCAUGCCAGGAAGUGGGUUAAAAGGACAAAAGAUGGGAGGGAGGUCAAGCUAAAGCAGGAAGUGUGGAAAAGGGGGUCCUGGGAACAGGCGGAGACCCUGCAUGCCUCCCUGGGGCCCCGCGUUAGGAAGCUCAUGUUUCCUGAGCAUCUAGACCCCACGCUGGAUGUUCUGCAUCCAUUACCUCAUGUCUCACAGCAGCCCUGAGAGGCAUUACUGUCCCCAUUUUGCAGAUGGAGAAACUGAGGUUCAGAGGUGAGGAGUGAUCUGCCCUGGUUCACCCAGUGAAUAAGUGACAAAGGGAGGAUUAGAGAACUCCAGUUGCCUGACUUAGGAGUCAAGGUUCUCAGGGCCUGCCCCUCCCCCACCAGCCCCUUCCUGGCCUCCCCUUUGCCUUCUCUCCUACCUUGAGGCUGACAUGGUUAGUGCUGCCCCGGCCUUGGGCCAGGUCAGGGCAACUCUGGCCACCCCAGGGCCUGAAAAGGAAGCACAGGGGGAAGGGAGUGAGGUAGCCUUCUCCUCUCCCACCCCAAGACCUGACCGAGCAGCCUCUCUCACUUCUCUCAGAUCCCACAGCCUGGAUGAGCUCCUGAAAUCUGGGGAAAGGGGAAGCUUGUACAGCAGCCUCCUCUCUGCUCCCUCCCCCACCUGUCCGCUCCACCCCCAGAGACAGAGAAAGAGGGCUGGGCUUGGAGAAAAGUGGGGACUAGGCCUGUAUCAGGGCCAGAAUACAGAAAAGCGACAGUGCCCCGAUAAUUCAAAAGCUCGCCAUUUGCUGAAGCACUCCCUAUGCCAGGCUUAGCACUGGGUGUUUUGCCCACAUGGUCUCCCUUAAGCCUCAAAAUAACCCUAAGAGGUGGAUAUUAGUGCCCCAUUUUUCAGGUAAGGAAACAGAGGCCAGAGAGAUGAAGCCUAGAAUCACACGGCUAAUGAGCCUUGGGAGUAAGACACUAGGACCAUCCCACUCUGUAGGCUGGUUGGACAUCACCACACGAAUGGGGGGCAAGAUGAGGAUGUGCCUUGGUUGCCUCCUCCAUGCACUCUGACCCCCACCAGGGAAACCAGCAGGAAUCGGAGGCUCGUGCCUCAGUCCCAUUCUCACAGCUGUGAGAACUGAACCCAAGUGCAUACACGGGAUGUGUCAUCAUGCUACUGCAGGAGCCUACGCAGUCCCUCCCCUGCCCUCCACAUCGCUGAAUCACCUACGCCCCAACCCCACCUCCUCUCAAGUGGGGAAAGGGAGGGGCAGAGCCACCUGGGCCUAUAGGGCAGGUUUCUGCCAGGCAGGGUAAAGGGGGAGGGGCGUGUCUUCCAGCGGGGUAGGGCAUGGCACUAGCAGGGUGUGGGCACCACCCUCCAGCUCACCCAGGCUUCCCAGCAUAGGGUGGCUAGGCCCUCCCUGCCCCUCCCCUCUCUCUUUGGGGUGAGAGAGCAGUACAAACCCUUCCCCUCACUCUGCCUCCACCACGCCCCCAUUCCUCCCAAGGUGAGCUGAAAACAGUUGUGUCAUGAUAAGAUCAGAACAAAUUGCUGGGUAACUGAACUGUACAGACACACAAACACCCCACCCUCUUCUGGGAUAUGGGCCCAGGAGCUACUGGGGUCCUCGAUUCCACUGGUCACAGGGCCAGUGGCAGCGAGGCUAGGACAGACUCUGGCCCCCUGGCUUGCAGGCCUUCAGUCUCUCAAGGCAACAGAGCAGCCGGGGCUUCAGGAUGUGAGCUCUGGAGUCAGACUGCCCAAGCUUGUCCUCCAGCCCCACCACUCCCCAGUCGUGUGGUGGACAGGGCACUUUGCCGCUCUGAACCUCCAUUUCCACGUCUGAGUCACACUGAACACCUGUCCCAGGGAGCUGCUGUAAGGAUUAAAUGAGAUCAUUCAAGUGAGGCACUCAGCAAGCGGCAAAGAGAGGCUGGUUGCUAUUGCGACCUGGGAUGACAGGGAAAACCUCGCCGUGGCAACAAGGGCAAGUGCAGUGCCGCCUAAGACAACUCAGGCGCCGGUCACACUCGUAACAAAGGGUCAGGAAGACCAGAGGGAACUGGCCUGUUAGUGGGAAUCAAAGUCCACACAGGCGGAAGGAGUUACUGCAUCGCCUUUAAUCUCCUCCGUAAAGAAAUUGUCUGCAGGCGGCUGGAUGGGAGGGAGGUCGAGCUAAAGCAGCCUGACUUAAGGAAAUCGCAAAACUUGUUUUAAAGUUUCAAAAGAGCACAGGGACUUUAUAAAGACCGUCUUCGCAUUUACACAUCCAAAAUCGACACAUUGCCCUGACCGGUUUGGCUCAGUGGAU